rnacentral:lncRNA from 1 species
GCCGCACAACAUUAUCUCCAUGCCCUUCUAUCCAUUGAUUUUGAUUUGAAUGGCUAUGAUUAAAAGAGAUUAGAUCUCUUGGGCAUUAAGAAGAGUUUUGAUAUGAAAAUAAUUGGUUUUGGUGUAAUAAAAAUUUGGAGGUUGUGAGGUCUUGCGUGAGUGAGAAGUAGCGACUUCUUUAGGACACAAAAACCUCUCAACGCCUCCUCCUUCUUUCUUCCUUACAUCCCAAUGCCUAGAUCUG